rnacentral:lncRNA from 1 species
CAAAGAGGAAUUUUUCCUCAACCUUUUUGGGAAAAGGACCUCAUUUUGGUUAAGGAAGGGAUUCCUACUCUUCCUACAGUGUUCAGAAAAUCCUGCCUCACUGAAGAGUAAAACAUACAUGUAGAAGCACAUGGAACAUAUUAUUUGCAGAGAGAAAUAAUGGAGGCCUUGUAAAUUCAGUGGUCAGAUCAGGACUGCACAAAAUGGGUGAUUAGAUAUUGGCUGUAAAAAGCGUGUCACCUGCCUCCAAUGCCUACCUGUAGUAUCUGUGGGAAUAGGGCUAAGAUAACAUCCAGCUGCAUGGUCAGAGUGAGCGUCCAGAGCUCACCAGAGCAUCGUGUUGACACGAAGCUGAGGGCACCGGGGUGGAGAUUCAGCUGCGUAUUCAGAUUACAUCUUUAAACUUUGUCACACUUGAGUUUGUGGUUGAAUGACCUGAAGACACAAGGGUUUGAAGCUGGCUUAUACGCAUCCUUGGCCACUGGACCAUGUCCUGCCUUUCCAACCUGAGAACAAAAGGAAUGCCUGGG